rnacentral:rRNA from 1 species
AUUGAACGCUGGCGGCAGGCCUAACACAUGCAAGUCGAACGAGUGGCGGACGGGUGAGUAAUGUCUGGGAAACUGCCUGAUGGAGGGGGAUAACUCCUGGAAACGGUAGCUAAUACCGCACACCAACGUAUGUGCCCAGAGGGGAUUAGCUAGUAGGUGGGGUAACGGCUCACCUAGGCGACAAUCCCUAGCUGGUAUGAGAGGAUGACCAGCUACACUGGAACUGAGACACGGUCCAGACUCCUACGGGAGGCAGCAGUGGGGAAUAUUGCACAAGGGGCGCAAGCCUGAUGCAGCCAUGCCGCGUGUAGGAAGAAGGCCGUCGGGUUUUAAAGUACUUUCAGCGGGGAGGCGUUACCCGCAGAAGAAGCACCGGCUAACUCCGUGCCAGCCGCCGCGGUAAUUC